GCACAAUUUUUUUUCUCAUGUUUUUGCUGGCUUUAAAAUGUGACUAAAAGAGUUUUUAUAGGGUAAAACUACUUCUAUGCUGGGCUAACUACUCAAAAUUAAUAAGUGCUUUCUUGGAAUACAGAGUACAAAAUUGACGGUUUACGUUUGAAAGUUCAUCACUUGCAGUAUUUCAGUGAAUAAGAUCACAAGAUAGUUAUGAGAAAUAAAAUUGCAUCAAUUCAAGAUCUAGAAUAGACAGCUUGUGUCAAUACUGCACUCCAAAUCAGAAUGGUAUUACUUGUGAAAUAGAUAAUUUCCAUAUCGAGCAUAACAAAGAAGACAAGAAACUACAAAUUGUAAUGAAAGGAGAGAUGAAUUUUUCACACCAAGAAGAACUGGAUAUAACGGUUGAGAGUGGAGACCUUUGUCUCUAUCGAAACUGUUGUCGACCAAAAAAAAAACCUGACUAUAUAACAGGAAAUAAUGAAUUUAUUUUUCUUAUGGUUUUUAUGUAAAUUCUGAUAAUAUUGUAAGCUCUUAUGUUUUAAAAAGCAGUUAAACAGAGAUCGAAAUCCAAUCAUUUAGCCAUACUAGAAUGUCUACCUUUAAUCUGGCGUACUUCCAUUUCUUCAUCAGAAAGCUAGUACAGCUGGUGCUGCUCCUUCUUAAGAACAGCACAUAUCUUCUUAUUUAGAGACUUAGAACAACUGUUAGUCAUCUACAUUUGAUAGUUGCCAUUCAUAGAUCAAAUUUUGAUAUAUACAUUUUUUUUUCGAUUUCCAUCUAUAUGCA